rnacentral:tRNA from 1 species
UAGCCUAGUGGUUUAGGCUAUGGAUCGCCAAUCCAGAGACGGCGGGUUCGAUUCCCGU